GACGAACGCUGGCGGCGUGCUUAACACAUGCAAGUCGAACGGAAAGGCCCUGCUUUUGUGGGGUGCUCGAGUGGCGAACGGGUGAGUAAAACGUGAGUAACCUGCCCUUGACUUUGGGAUAACUUCAGGAAACUGGGGCUAAUAUCGGAUAGGAGCUCCUGCUGCAUGGUGGGGGUUGGAAAGUUUCGGCGGUUGGGGAUGGAUGCGCGGUUUAUCCGCUUGUUGGUGGGGUAGUGGCUUAACAAGGCAUUGGAGGGUAGCCGGCCUGGGAGGGUGACCGGGCCCCAUGGGACUCAGGAAGGGCCCAGAGUCCAACGUGGGCCAGCAGUGGGAAACAUUGCACAAUGGGCGGAAGCCGGAUGCAGCGACUCCGCGUCCUGGAUGACUGCUUGUGGGGAAUAAACCGCUUUCGCCUGUGACGCAGCUUGAGUGACGGUAAUGAGUAAAGAAGCACCGGCUAACUACGUG
rnacentral:rRNA from 1 species